rnacentral:rRNA from 1 species
UAAUACAUGCAAGUCGAACGCUUUUUCUUUCACCGGAGCUUGCUCCACCGAAAGAAAAAGAGUGGCGAACGGGUGAGUAACACGUGGGUAACCUGCCCAUCAGAAGGGGAUAACACUUGGAAACAGGUGCUAAUACCGUAUAACACUAUUUUCCGCAUGGAAGAAAGUUGAAAGGCGCUUUUGCGUCACUGAUGGAUGGACCCGCGGUGCAUUAGCUAGUUGGUGAGGUAACGGCUCACCAAGGCAACGAUGCAUAGCCGACCUGAGAGGGUGAUCGGCCACACUGGGACUGAGACACGGCCCAGACUCCUACGGGAGGCAGCAGUAGGGAAUCUUCGGCAAUGGACGAAAGUCUGACCGAGCAACGCCGCGUGAGUGAAGAAGGUUUUCGGAUCGUAAAACUCUGUUGUUAGAGAAGAACAAGGAUGAGAGUAAAACGUUCAUCCCUUGACGGUAUCUAACCAGAAAGCCACGGCUAACUACGUGCCAGCAGCCGCGGUAAUACGUAGGUGGCAAGCGUUGUCCGGAUUUAUUGGGCGUAAAGCGAGCGCAGGCGGUUUCUUAAGUCUGAUGUGAAAGCCCCCGGCUCAACCGGGGAGGGUCAUUGGAAACUGGGAGACUUGAGUGCAGAAGAGGAGAGUGGAAUUCCAUGUGUAGCGGUGAAAUGCGUAGAUAUAUGGAGGAACACCAGUGGCGAAGGCGGCUCUCUGGUCUGUAACUGACGCUGAGGCUCGAAAGCGUGGGGAGC